rnacentral:misc_RNA from 1 species
GAUGAAGAACGUAGCGAAAUGCGAUAAGUAAUGUGAAUUGCAGAAUUCAGUGAAUCAUCGAAUCUUUGAACGCACAUUGCGCCCGCCAGUAUUCUGGCGGGCAUGCCUGUUCAAGCGUCAUUUCAACCAUCAAGCCCCCGGCUUGUGUUGGGGACCUGCGGCUGCCGCAGGCCCUGAAAACCAGUGGCGGGCUCGCUAGUCACUCCGAGCGUAGUAAUACAUCUCGCUCAGGGCGUGCUGCGGGUUCCGGCCGUUAAAAAGCCUUAUUUACCCAAGGUUGACCUCGGAUCAGGUAGGAAGACCCGCUGAACUUAAGCAUAUCAAUAAGCGGAGGA